rnacentral:rRNA from 1 species
GAUCCAGCGAUGCCGCGUGUGUGAAGAAGGCCUGCGGGUUGUAAAGCACUUUCAGUAGGGAAGAAAAGCCGAGUGCUAAUAUCACUCGGUCUUGACGUUACUUACAGAAGAAGCACCGGCUAACUCCGUGCCAGCAGCCGCGGUAAUACGGAGGGUGCGAGCGUUAAUCGGAAUUACUGGGCGUAAAGGGCGCGUAGGCGGUUUGGUAAGUCGGGUGUGAAAGCCCCGGGCUCAACCUGGGAAUGGCAUUCGAUACUGCCUGGCUAGAGUAUGGUAGAGGGAAGCGGAAUUCCGGGUGUAGCGGUGAAAUGCGUAGAUAUCCGGAGGAACACCAGUGGCGAAGGCGGCUUCCUGGACCAAUACUGACGCUGAGGCGCGAAAGCGUGGGGAUCAAACAGGAUUAGAUACCCUGGUAGUCCACGCCCUAAACGAUGAGAACUAGCCGUUGGAGGAGCUUUGUCCUUUAGUGGCGCACUAACGCGAUAAGUUCUCCGCCUGGGGAGUACGGCCGCAAGGUUA